rnacentral:rRNA from 1 species
GGGGAAUAUUGCACAAUGGGCGCAAGCCUGAUGCAGCGACGCCGCGUGAGGGAUGACGGCCUUCGGGUUGUAAACCUCUUUCAGCAGGGAAGAAGCGUAAGUGACGGUACCUGCAGAAGAAGCGCCGGCUAACUACGUGCCAGCAGCCGCGGUAAUACGUAGGGCGCAAGCGUUGUCCGGAAUUAUUGGGCGUAAAGAGCUCGUAGGCGGCUUGUCGCGUCGGGUGUGAAAGCCCGGGGCUUAACCCCGGGUCUGCAUUCGAUACGGGCAGGCUAGAGUGUGGUAGGGGAGAUCGGAAUUCCUGGUGUAGCGGUGAAAUGCGCAGAUAUCAGGAGGAACACCGGUGGCGAAGGCGGAUCUCUGGGCCAUUACUGACGCUGAGGAGCGAAAGCGUGGGGAGCGAAC